GUUGAGAGAAUCAUCUUCUCCACUCCUUCAUUAAAUUCCGUGUUGGUGAGUCUUUCCAGUUCUAAAGCUUAAGGCUAACGUACAGGGAAAUUAAACCAGGGAAAGAUACGCAAGUUAAACCCCGUGAAAUUAAAGCCAGCCACAAGAAAGUUACAGAAGUUACAGAUUGCGUCAUUAACGCAUUUCGACUUCAGUGGAGUGUAUCUAGUGUGAGGAUUCAGUGAAUCGUCAAAGCUAACUCUUCGAGGAUUGAACUUUAGGAAAGACUUUUGCUACCGUCUGACAAGCACGAUAUUUAGGCUAUCUCAGCAAUAAAAAUAAAGGUGAUUUAUCA